AUGUCAGAGUCCGAACUUCCCGAAGAAGGUUCCUCCGAACAGAACGACCUGACCCGUUUCAGUUCAGAUGGCUCAGACUCGGAGAAGGCCUUCAGAAGUCCCACCUGCACCAACAGGAACUUCUGCUACGUUUGUGACAAACCGCAGGGAAAAAUCUCUCGGCACCUUUUCACCCACAGAAAUGAGGAGCCUGAGAUCGCCGAGGCCUUCUCGCUGCCCAAACAUGGCAAGGCCCGGCAAAAGCUGCUGCAGAAGCUGCGAAGCAGAGGGAAUUACAAACACAACCAGAAAGUGCUGAAGAGUCGGAGAGGUCAUCUGAAAGUGAGAAAAAAAACUAACUUGUCUUCUCUAGAAAUGUCCGCAGCUUGCAUCUAUUGUAAGGUCCUGGUCAGGCGUAACGGUUUCUGGAAACAUCUCCAGACCUGUUCUUCAAAGAUCUCAAACCCUCCAGCAGAAAGCAGGGCCCAGAUCCUGGCUCUGGUCGCCACCGGUUUCACGGACCCCCAGCACAUGUCGUCAGAUGUGAAGAGGAUGUUAAAAAAGCUGAAGAAGGACGAGUUUGGCUCUCUAGUCUUAAAGGACACGUACCUGCUGCGACUGGCCCACUGUUUGUACCACUUAAGUGAGAGCAAGCAACGAGAUUCAGAAAUCAGCCGUAAGCUGAGGUACUUGGGCCGGCUUCUCGCCAUCUUAAACGAGAAGUCCAUCUUCAGCUUCGAUGAGGCUCUGAAACCUCAGAACUUCAGCAGUAUUGUUGAGGCUGUCGCAAAACUCAAAGGUUCCAGCAAAGACUUCAGCAAGAGGCUCGUGUGCGCCAUUCCGGCUUUGCUCAGGAAACUGGCUAAUGUAAAGUACGCGGUGGUUCUGAACGACCGGGCCGACAAGGAGGUGAUAGAGGAGGCAGAGGAGUUCAUGAAGCUGUGUGCUAAAGAAUGGCCGUCAAAUGUCCCGGGUCCUUCCAAAGGGCCCAACCCACCAACCCUACCCUUCAUUCGGGAUGUUCAGGUUCUCUUCAAACACAUUGAGAACAUCUUAGCUUCUGCUGUCAAGAGCCUGACCCUGUACGAAUGUCCUCCGGUCUACUACGCACUCCUCAAAGUGAUCGUGGCGUACGCUUUAAUUCUAAACCGAAACGAAGACAUCUCACAUGUCACCCUGCAGUCUUUCCUGGAGAGGAAAGACCCUGAGCUACAGGAAACCACCGACGGCCGCCAGAUCCAGUUUGAGGACAUAUUUUCCAAGUGCACGGUGAAGCUCCAUGUUGCCACCAAAGUGGGACAAAAGGUGGUUCUGGUCCUGACUCCCGACCUGCUCUCUGCUAUUACUCUGCUGGUGGAGAAGCGGAAAACCGCCAGCGUGUCUGAACACAACCCCUACUUGCUGGCAAAGCCGAACGCUUCGAGUGUCUGCAGCCCCUUCCAUUUCCUGUCAACCUUCAUAGGUUUCUGUGGUGCCAAAGAUCCAGCCUUCCUCAGGUCUCCGUUAUUUCGUAAACACAUGGCAAGAGUUUUCCAGAUUCUCAUCCUCGGGAACGACGAGCUCGAUCUGCUGGCCAAGCAUCUGGGCCGCGACAUUCAGACAGAGGGAGAGUUCUAUCGGACACCAGAGGCCGCUGCAGACAUCGCUAAGGUCCUUCUGCUGCUGUCUGCUGUCGAGUCCGGAUAUCCAGAGUUGUUUGACGGAAAAUCUUUAGAAGAAAUCGAGAUUCCAGGUAUGUCUCACUGGAAACUUCAUGAAAGAUCUUUGAUCUGCUUAGCAAGUGGUGAAAGCCACAGAUGCUUACCAUGGUGA
ensembl:lncRNA